rnacentral:rRNA from 1 species
GUUGAUCCUGGCUCAGAAUGAACGUUGGCGGCGUGGAUUAGGCAUGCAAGUCGGUCGUCCCGCAAGGGACGAGGCGCAAGGGUGAGUAAGCGACGGCAACCAACCCCAUGAUUGGGUAUAGCCGCGGGAAACUGCGGGUAAUCCCCAGCGACGUCUCGAGGGCAUCUCCUUGAGACCAUAGGUGCGAUUCCGGCAUGGGACGGGCCGUCGUGGUAUCAGCUUGUUGGUGGGGUAACGGCCCACCAAGGCUAUGACGCCUACCGGGCGUGCGAGCGUGGCCCGGCACACUGGGACUGAGACACUGCCCAGACUCCUACGGGAGGCUGCAGUCGAGAAUCUUCGGCAAUGGCGCAAGCCUGACCGAGCGACGCCGCGUGGAGGACGAAGGCCUUCGGGUUGUAAACUCCUGUCGAGGGGGAACAAGACGCCGUGCAGAACGGCGUUUGAGUGAUCCCUGGAGGAAGCACGGGCUAAGUUCGUGCCAGCAGCCGCGGUAAGACGAACCGUGCGAACGUUAUUCGGAAUCACUGGGCCUAAAGCGCGUGUAGGCGGCCACUCACGUCAUCGGCUGAAAUCCGUCGGCUCAACCGGUACAGGGGCCAUGAUACGACCGGGCUGGAGGGGGGUAGGGGGGACGGGAACUCACGGUGGAGCGGUGAAAUGCGUUGAGAUCGUGAGGAACGCCCGCGGCGAAAGCGCGUCCCUGGACCCCACCUGACGCUGAGACGCGAAAGCCAGACUAGCGAACGGGAUUAGAUACCCCGGUAGUCCUGGCCGUAAACCAUGAGCACUGGGUAGGAUGCUCGCCGAUGGGCUCCCUGCCGCAGCGAAGGCGUGAAGUGCUCCGCCUGGGGAGUAUGGUCGCAAGGCUGAAACUCAAAGGAAUUGACGGGGGCUCACACAAGCGGUGGAGUAUGUGGCUUAAUUCGAGGCUACGCGAAGCACCUUAUCCCGGGCUUGACGUGCACGGAUUGGCCGGCGGAAACGUCGGUGACAUCACAAGAUGGAACGUGCACAGUCGCUGCAUGGCUGUCGUCAGCGCCGUGAGGUGUUGGGUUAAGUCCCGUAACGAGCGAAACCCCUGCCAGUAGUUGCCAGCGCGUCAUGGCGGGACUCUAAGGGGACCGCCGGCGUCAAGCCGGAGGAAGGCGGGGAUGACGUCAAGUCCUCAUGGCCCUAUGCCCGGGGCUGCACACGUACUACAAUGGGCCGGACAGAGCGACGCCAACUCGCAAGAGCGCGCCAAUCGCAGAAACCGGCCCCCAGUUCGGAUUGCGGGCUGCAACCCGCCCGCAUGAAGCCGGAAUCGCUAGUAAUCGCGGAUCAGCAUGCCGCGGUGAAUGGGUUCCUGAGCCUUGUACACACCGCCCGUCAAGCCACCAAAGCGGACCCGAAGUCGCCGACGGCUCACGCCAGGCGCCGAAGGUGAAACCCGUGAUGGGGACUAAGUCGUAACCUUUA